GACGAACGCUGGCGGCGUGCUUAACACAUGCAAGUCGAACGGAAAGGCCCUGCUUUUGUGGGGUGCUCGAGUAGCGAACGGGUGAGUAACACGUGAGUAACCUGCCCUUGACUUUGGGAUAACUUCAGGAAACUGGGGCUAAUACCGGAUAGGAGCUCCUGCUGCAUGGUGGGGGUUGGAAAGUUUCGGCGGUUGGGGAUGGACUCGCGGCUUAUCAGCUUGUUGGUGGGGUAGUGGCUUACCAAGGCUUUGACGGGUAGCCGGCCUGAGAGGGUGACCGGCCACAUUGGGAUUGAGAUACGGCCCAGACUCCUACGGGAGGCAGCAGAGGGGAAUAUUGCACAAUGGGCGGAAGCCUGAUGCAGCAACGCCGCGUGCGGGAUGACGGCCUUCGGGUUGUAAACCGCUUUCGCCUGUGACGAAGCGUGAGUGACGGUAAUGGGUAAAGAAGCACCGGCUAACUACGUGCCAGCAGCCGCGGUGAUACGUAGGGUGCGAGCGUUGUCCGGAUUUAUUGGGCGUAAAGGGCUCGUAGGUGGUUGAUCGCGUCGGAAGUGUAAUCUUGGGGCUUAACCCUGAGCGUGCUUUCGAUACGGGUUGACUUGAGGAAGGUAGGGGAGAAUGGAAUUCCUGGUGGAGCGGUGGAAUGCGCAGAUAUCAGGAGGAACACCAGUGGCGAAGGCGGUUCUCUGGGCCUUUCCUGACGCUGAGGAGCGAAAGCGUGGGGAGCGAACAGGCUUAGAUACCCUGGUAGUCCACGCUGUAAACGGUGGGUACUAGGUGUGGGGUCCAUUCCACGGGUUCCGUGCCGUAGCUAACGCUUUAAGUACCCCGCCUGGGGAGUACGGCCGCAAGGCUAAAACUCAAAGGAAUUGACGGGGCCCCGCACAAGCGGCGGAGCAUGCGGAUUAAUUCGAUGCAACGCGUAGAACCUUACCUGGGUUUGACAUGGAUCGGGAGUGCUCAGAGAUGGGUGUGCCUCUUUUGGGGUCGGUUCACAGGUGGUGCAUGCCUGUCGUCAGCUCGUGUCGUGAGAUGUUGGGUUAAGUCCCGCAACGAGCGCAACCCUUGUUCACUGUUGCCAGCACGUUAUGGUGGGGACUCAGUGGAGACCGCCGGGGUCAACUCGGAGGAAGGUGGGGAUGACGUCAAGUCCUCAUGCCCCUUAUGUCCAGGGCUUCACGCAUGCUACAAUGGCUGGUACAGAGAGUGGCGAGCCUGUGAGGGUGAGCGAAUCUCGGAAAGCCGGUCUCAGUUCGGAUUGGGGUCUGCAACUCGACCUCAUGAAGUCGGAGUCGCUAGUAAUCGCAGAUCAGCAACGCUGCGGUGAAGACGUUCCCGGGGCU
rnacentral:rRNA from 1 species